rfam:Picea glauca, whole genome shotgun sequence.
AUGUACAUUCAUACAACAUAGCGUUAAUGCAUCGGAUCCCAUUAGAACUCUACAGUUAAGCGUGCUCGGGCUAGAGUAGUAUUGGGAUGGGUGACCGCCCCGUAAGUCCUAGUGUUUUACAUG